AUUGAACGCUGGCGGCAUGCCUUACACAUGCAAGUCGAACGGUAACAGGUUAAGCUGACGAGUGGCGAACGGGUGAGUAAUAUAUCGGAACGUGCCCAGUCGUGGGGGAUAACUGCUCGAAAGAGCAGCUAAUACCGCAUACGACCUGAGGGUGAAAGCGGGGGAUCGCAAGACCUCGCGCGCUUGGAGCGGCCGAUAUCAGAUUAGGUAGUUGGUGGGGUAAAAGCCUACCAAGCCAAAGAUCUGUAGCUGGUCUGAGAGGACGACCAGCCACACUGGGACUGAGACACGGCCCAGACUCCUACGGGAGGCAGCAGUGGGGAAUUUUGGACAAUGGACGCAAGUCUGAUCCAGCCAUGCCGCGUGCGGGAAGAAGGCCUUCGGGUUGUAAACCGCUUUUGUCAGGGAAGAAAAGGUUCUGGUUAAUACCUGGGACUCAUGACGGUACCUGAAGAAUAAGCACCGGCUAACUACGUGCCAGCCGCCGCCGUAACAC
rnacentral:rRNA from 1 species